rnacentral:tRNA from 1 species
UGAUUAUAUGCCUGAUAAAAGGGUUAAUUUGAUAGAUUAAAUAAUGUGUAAUUUUAGUA